rnacentral:rRNA from 1 species
UACGUAGGAAGCGAGCGUUGUCCGGAAUCACUGGGCGUAAAGCGCGUGUAGGCGGUACGGCAAGUCUGCUGUGAAAGCGCCCGGCUUAACCGGGCGAGGUCGGCGGAAACUGCUGAACUGGAGGACGGUAGAGGGGGGUGGAAUUCCCGGUGUAGUGGUGAAAUGCGUAGAGAUCGGGAGGAACACCAGUGGCGAAGGCGGUUACCUGGAGCUUGCUGACGCUGAUGCGCGAAAGCGUGGGGAGCGAGUCCGG